AGCCCAUUAGCUCAGUUGGUUAGAGCGUCGUGCUAAUAACGCGAAGGUCGCGGGUUCAAUCCCCUUAUGGGCCA
rnacentral:tRNA from 1 species